CACGUGUGCAACCAACCCCGUACCGGGAGAUAACCCGCGGAAACGUGGACUAACAUCCCAUGAUACUCGAGGGCCGCAUGGCUCUCGAUUUAAAAUUCCGGUGGUACGGGACUGGCACGCGCGACAUUAGGUAGUUGGCGGGGUAACGGCCCACCAAGCCGACGAUGUCUAGGGGUUCUGAGAGGAAGGUCCCCCACACUGGAACUGAGACACGGUCCAGACUCCUACGGGAGGCAGCAGUGAGGAAUAUUGGUCAAUGGGCGAGAGCCUGAACCAGCCAAGUCGCGUGAGGGAAGAAUGGUCUAUGGCCUGUAAACCUCUUUUGUCAGGGAAGAAUAAGGAUGACGAGUCAUUCGAUGCCAGUACUUGACGAAUAAGCAUCGGCUAACUCCGUGCCAGCAGCCGCGGUAAUACGGGGGAUGCGAGCGUUAUCCGGAUUUAUUGGGUUUAAAGGGCGCGUAGGCGGGACGUCAAGUCAGCGGUAAAAGACUGCAGCUAAACUGUAGCACGCCGUUGAAACUGGCGCCCUGGAGACGAGACGAGGGAGGCGGAACAAGUGAAGUAGCGGUGAAAUGCAUAGAUAUCACUUGGAACCCCGAUAGCGAAGGCAGCUUCCCAGGCUCGUUCUGACGCUGAUGCGCGAGAGCGUGGGUAGCGAACAGGAUUAGAUACCCUGGUAGUCCACGCCGUAAACGAUGCUCACUGGAUCUUGGCGAUACACUGCCAGGGUUCAAGCGAAAGUAUUAAGUGAGCCACCUGGGGAGUACGUCGGCAACGAUGAAACUCAAAGGAAUUGACGGGGGCCCGCACAAGCAGAGGAACAUGUGGUUUAAUUCGAUGAUACGCGAGGAACCUUACCCGGGUUUAAAUGUAGAUUGCAUGAGGUGGAAACGCUUCUUCCCUUCGGGGCUAUUUACAAGGUGCUGCAUGGUUGUCGUCAGCUCGUGCCGUGAGGUGUCGGGUUAAGUCCCAUAACGUGCGCAACCCCUAUCGCCAGUUGCCAUCGGUUCAAGCCGGGCACUCUGUCGAGACUGCCACCGUAAGGUGCGAGGAAGGCGGGGAUGACGUCAAAUCAGCACGGCCCUUACGCCCGGGGCGACACACGUGUUACAAUGGCCGGUACAGAGGGCAGCCACGGGGUGACCCGGAGCGAAUCUCUAAAGCCGGUCGUAGUUCGGACUGGAGUCUGCAACCCGACUCCACGAAGUUGGAUUCGCUAGUAAUCGCGCAUCAGC
rnacentral:rRNA from 1 species